GAUUGAACGCUGGCGGCAUGCCUUACACAUGCAAGUCGAACGGUAACAGGUCUUUCGGGAUGCUGACGAGUGGCGAACGGGUGAGUAAUACAUCGGAACGUGCCUAGUAGUGGGGGAUAACUACUCGAAAGAGUGGCUAAUACCGCAUGAGAUCUAUGGAUGAAAGCAGGGGACCUUCGGGCCUUGUGCUACUAGAGCGGCCGAUGGCAGAUUAGGUAGUUGGUGGGAUAAAAGCUUACCAAGCCUACGAUCUGUAGCUGGUCUGAGAGGACGAUCAGCCACACUGGGACUGAGACACGGCCCAGACUCCUACGGGAGGCAGCAGUGGGGAAUUUUGGACAAUGGGGGAAACCCUGAUCCAGCAAUGCCGCGUGCAGGAUGAAGGCCUUCGGGUUGUAAACUGCUUUUGUACGGAACGAAAAGUCUUGGGCUAAUACCCUGGGAUCAUGACGGUACCGUAAGAAUAAGCACCGGCUAACUACGUGCCAGCAGCCGCGGUAAUACGUAGGGUGCAAGCGUUAAUCGGAAUUACUGGGCGUAAAGCGUGCGCAGGCGGUUUUGUAAGACAGUGGUGAAAUCCCCGGGCUCAACCUGGGAACUGCCAUUGUGACUGCAAGGCUGGAGUGCGGCAGAGGGGGAUGGAAUUCCGCGUGUAGCAGUGAAAUGCGUAGAUAUGCGGAGGAACACCGAUGGCGAAGGCANNNNCNUGGGCCUGCACUGACGCUCAUGCACGAAAGCGUGGGGAGCAAACAGGAUUAGAUACCCUGGUAGUCCACGCCCUAAACGAUGUCAACUGGUUGUUGGGAAUUUAUUUUCUCAGUAACGAAGCUAACGCGUGAAGUUGACCGCCUGGGGAGUACGGCCGCAAGGUUAAAACUCAAAGGAAUUGACGGGGACCCGCACAAGCGGUGGAUGAUGUUCUUUAAUUCGAUGCAACGCGAAAAACCUUACCAAGGCUUGACUUCCUGCGAAGGUUUCCGAAAGGAAAUUGUGCCUUUUAGGAGCGCAGUGACAGGUGCUGCAUGGCCGUCGUCAGCUCGUGUCGUGAGAUGUAUGGUUAAGUCCAUUAACGAGCGCAACCCUUAUGAUUAGUUGGAUUUUUCUAAUCAGACUGCCCUGGCAACAGGGAGGAAGGAGGGGAUGAUGUCAGGUCAGUAUUGCCCUUACGUCUUGGGCGACAAACACGCUACAAUGGCCGGUACAAAGGGCAGCCAACUCGCGAGAGGGAGCAAACCCCAUCAAAGCUGGUCUUAGUUCGGAUUGCAGGCUGAAACUCGCCUGCAUGAAGUCGGAAUCGCUAGUAAUCGUGGAUCAGCAUGUCACGGUGAAUACGUUCCCGGGUCU
rnacentral:rRNA from 1 species